CUGGAGCUUCUUACUGAAGGAGGAGAUUGUGUACUAAUCUCUCGGCACCUUGAAAAUAGGUCAGUUUAGAAGAAAGAGGGCAUUGGCCUGUCACAUAAGGAGAGUCAGCCAUUAGCUUACAUAUGAAUAUUUAUGUGGAAAACACCUGGAAGAAAGCACACGGAAAUGUGAAACCUGCUUAUUUUGGGGCAAUUCUGAUUUUCUUCUUUAUGGUUUUCUUUAUUCUGUCACUAUCACCAUAAGCAUAUGUUAUUUUUAUAUCAAACACCUUGAUGCUUUUACAUUGAGCUCUCUCUAUCUGCUGUGGGGACGUCCGUGUGGCCAUGUGCAUGGAGAUGACCUCUGGGCCCUCUGUCGACUGGUUUCAUGUGUUUGACAGGCCCCAGCAUUUGUAAGUUGUAAGUUGUCCAGUGGCCCAGUAGAGCCAGGCAGGUUGUACACCAUUGAGAGCCCAAGCAUCUUGACGCAAAGCAGAUGCUGUCUCUGUACAGAGUUGUGCAGUCCCUCCCAAGAUCUUUCUGCAU
rnacentral:lncRNA from 1 species